GAAUUGCCCUUAGUAGCGGCGAGUGAAGCGGCAAAAGCUCAAAUUUGAAAUCUGGCUCUUUCAGAGUCCGAGUUGUAAUUUGAAGAAGGUAUCUUUGGGUCUGGCUCUUGUCUAUGUUUCUUGGAACAGAACGUCACAGAGGGUGAGAAUCCCGUGCGAUGAGAUGAUCCAGGCCUAUGUAAAGUUCCUUCGAAGAGUCGAGUUGUUUGGGAAUGCAGCUCUAAGUGGGUGGUAAAUUCCAUCUAAAGCUAAAUAUUGGCGAGAGACCGAUAGCGAACAAGUACAGUGAUGGAAAGAUGAAAAGAACUUUGAAAAGAGAGUGAAAAAGUACGUGAAAUUGUUGAAAGGGAAGGGCUUGAGAUCAGACUUGGUAUUUUGUAUGUUACUUCUUCGGGGGUGGCCUCUACAGUUUAUCGGGCCAGCAUCAGUUUGGGCGGUAGGAGAAUUGCGUUGGAAUGUGGCACGGCUUCGGUUGUGUGUUAUAGCCUUCGUCGAUACUGCCAGCCUAGACUGAGGACUGCGGUUUAUACCUAGGAUGUUGGCAUAAUGAUCUUAAGUCGCCCGUCUUAAAAA
rnacentral:rRNA from 1 species